AGAGGACAGAGAAUGGAGAGGGAGAAAAGGAGUCUGCCUAGUCAUUUUCAAGAGUGUGCGUGAAGAAGGGGUACAGUAGUGGGAGAAAGAGAAAGACACCUAAGGAGGGAAUGAGAGAGCAAGCACAUCACCAGGAAGCAUGCAGAGUGGAAGCCGCGGGAUGGAGGGAUGGAGCUGAGAGAGUCCACAGGGUGCCAGAAGAUGACAGUGGCUCCAUGGGGACAACAGAGGCAGAACAAGGUAGCGGUGACGACACGGGCUACUGAGAGAGACUGCCUGGAGUGAAUCCUCCCUCUACCAGCUAAGUGACCUUGGACAGACUGCCUAAGCUCCCUGGGCCUUGGUCCUCUCAUCUGUAAGAAGGGGUAGCAAAUGACACUGAUUUCCUAGGAUAUUCCAUGACCAAAACUCUUCUAUUCUACACUGGUUGCUUGCUUUUGGGGAGAAAUGGGAGAGAACAUUGGGAUUUAACCUAUUAUGCUUAUUACUGCAGCCUCUCUGCUGCGGCUUCAUCCCAUUUUGCAGAAGCAGCUCAGAGCUGAAGUUGUCCAUGAACUUUCCUUAGGGAAGGGACUAUGUCUGUUUUAUUUACCUCUAUAUAUCUAGCACCUAGUACCUGAGACCUAGUAGGUGCUCAAUAAGUACUUGAGUGAAUGACUGAGUGGUUACAUUUAUUUAUUCCCCCAGGACACUUGUGAGGAUAAAUAUUCAUAUUGCUAUUGUUUCUGCUCACAGAUGAGGGACUGGAGCUCCAGCAAGGUUAAGUGACUUGUGCAUAAACACACAGCCUGAAGCAGAACAGGCGGACUCAAACGCCAAAUCCCAUGCUCUUUCUUCCUCCACACCGUGCUACUCUCUGGACUCCUAUUCAUCCUGUCCUAUUUUCUGCAGAUUUCUUCUAGUCAGUGGUGCCAUCCCUGAUUGUAGAGUCAUCUCCGAAUUCUAUGACUCAUAUCUGAAUCACAGAACUGUUUAAUAGUUGAAGGGGACUUCUGAUGUCAUCUGGACCUCCCAUCCAUUGUGGAAAUUUCCUCUCCAUUGUCUAUCUAUCUAGUACUUGAAUGCCUCCUGUGACGGAACACGCAUUUCUUCCUCUGGAAUUAUUGAGUUCUAUGACUGGACCACUUUUAGAGUCAGAGAGUUCUGCGUCUAUGGGCCAAAGGCCUGUUUUUAAUUUCAAUGCCUUGGGCUUACGUCAUCCUAAGAUACACAGAAUAGAUCUGCUGCCCCUUCCGCAAGACAGCCAUUCAGAUAUUCAGGAAGUUCUCACAUCUUUUCAGAGAAUUCUCUUCUAGACAGACGGUCCCAUCUUAGACCGUCUCAACAGGCUGUCCCAAGUGUUUUGAGCAAUGGCACCCCCUACUGGUUAAGGUAUGAACUGCAUCAAAGGGCUUCCUCAGGAGCUGGGGCACUGAGUGUGGUGUGAAUAAAAUACCACUUAUUUUGAAGAGUCAUCGCUUUAGACUCAUACCUGGUUGUUUCCAAUGUCUAUCUUAAAGAGUAUCACGUGAAGACUCCAUUCUAAGGUUCCUUGCCAAUCAUGAGGUCUCUGAAAAGCUACAGGUUUGGAAUUUCAACGUUAGAGUUCAAAAGACUUGUCUUUGUUUUGUUUUGUUUUGUUUUGUUUUUUUGGAGACGGAGUCUUACUCUGUCGCCCAGGCUGGAGUGCAGUGGCGCGAUCUCGGCUCACUGCAAGCUCUGCCCUCUGGGUUCACGCCAUCCUCCUGCCUCAGCCUCCCAAGUAGCUGGGACUACAGGCGCCCGCCACCACGCCUGGCUAAUUUUUUGUAUUUUUAGUAGAGACGGAGUUUCACCAUGUUAGCCAGGAUGGUCUCGAUCUCCUGACCUCGUGAUCUGCCCGCCUUGG
ensembl:lncRNA novel transcript, antisense to PTPN5